UCCUCGAUUUAAAUACAGUGAUUGCUACCUUUUCCUAAGGUUAAUCCUAAACCCUAUAAUGACUAACCCGAAACUCAUUUCGGGAGUUUUGAACGGAAUCCUUGUCAAAGUAUUCGCGUCACUCUAUUAAGAAAGACCCCUUUUUCUGCGACUUUUUCACUGUUGAAGUUGCCGGCUAUGAUCAUCUAGAUUAUUUAUAGAUGAUAAUAUCUCAUUAGUUAAUUUGCAAAUUAGUUCGCCUUUGUUUUAAGCCCAAUGGCAAUGACAUCAAUUCCGGCAAUUUGACAGUGGAAAGUUUUUAUCGUCGAGGUUUUUCUAUAGAAUUUUUCCUUCGAGGUUUUAGUUCUCGAAAUAUUUCGAAAACUGUAAAACAACAUUUGAAGCUGUUAAAAGGUCCACCAUGCAUAUUAUAUAAGUACAAUUUAAUGUCAAAGCAUUUUCAUUAAGAUAUAUACAUCAGAAUGUCACAGAAUUGUUUAUAAUGGUCGAAUAGACAAAUUUAACUAACAUUGUUUAUGAGGCCUGUUUUUUACGUCGAAUUUCGGUCGCGUCGAAUGCAAUUCAAACAAUAGAUAAUGAAGCUUGAUUAGGUUUAUCAUCUCAUUAUCUAUUGUCUUAAUUGCAUUCAACACGACCAAAAUUAGACGUAUAAAACGGGCCUGAAACACUUUGCUACCCAAUUCACAACUUGAGAUAACUCAUAAUUGUAU